ensembl:processed_transcript Snhg5 small nucleolar RNA host gene 5
UUCUUUUACGACGGAGCCUAAGAUAUUCUUUGUCUUGUCGGUGAGUGAGUUACAGUCGGAUGACCAAGUGAAAUAUAGGGGUGCAACGAGGAUUUGGAGGCUUCUGAGACUUGAACUUAGGGUACUGGUGUAAACUUCCUCGGAGAAGUGCGCAGCAGCUAAUGAUAUUUCGGGAUUGGAGUCUGGGCCCCAGUGAGAUUCGUACUAAGCGGCCUGACUGAAGGCCGCAUGCGUUUUAGUUCCUGAGUCCCCGCGUGGGUAGGUUUUUACAGCAGGGUUUGCAGCCUUUUGUGCUGUUCCGAAGGUACUAGAGUCACCGAAAGAGACAUCCUAUUAUAUGCACGUUCACAAGGACAAUGGCGCCAUUGUUCUUCGCGUCUUCAAAGCAGCUACGAGAAGAAACCAAGAUGGAGGGGAGCCCAAAGCAUCUGAGAGAAUUGAUAAAUGAAAGAAACAUGCUUAAAACAUGACCGUUUUAAAGGUGAAUGCUGACCAGUGAGAAAACUAGAUGUGACCAUCCAGAAAAAGCAUAGACAAAAAAAUGCAGUCUUAGUACUGGGAUGUUUGAGAUGGGGUCUAUCUACAUGUCUCUAGCUGUCCCUAUCAGGACAGCAUCUGGUGUGGCCUGCAGAGUUGAUUCCUGUACUUUUUUUUUUUUGUGGGCUGUAUGUAAAUGGAUUGUUUUGACAAUCCAUUCGACAGUGUUCUCUUCUGUGAAGGUCAUAGGUGAGCUGAUUGACAGACACAGCUGUACAGACUGAAUGCAAUCCUGACUAUAAAGCUGCAGUUCAUCAUUAUGAGCUAUUUCCUUAUUCUGGCAGUGAUUGAAAUAAAAUGGGGAGUAUUGAAAUAAAAAACAUUCAAUUGCAAA